GUAGACAUAGUUUAAUAUAAAACAUUAAAUGGGGAUUCUAAAAAGGGGGGUUAAACUCCCCUUGUCCACC
rnacentral:tRNA from 1 species